rnacentral:misc_RNA from 1 species
GAACUGAAUACCACAGGAGCGCCUGCCGCUCCACCCUGCUUCCUCCCUUCCUACACUCAGCAUUGUUGUAUAUGUAGCGGCACGUAUUCAAGUAUACGGACGUCAACGCACGCGCAAUAUGCUGGUUGCGCGUUUUGGCCGUCAACGUAGAUUUCCUCUUUUUUCUUUCUCAUAAUGAGUUCUAGGAUGUUCUGGCGCGAUGUGCGCCGCCACGGCCGACCGCUCAGCUUAGGGCUUCUCAUUCUCCACAUACUCACCGUAACACACUGGUGGAUGGUGACCAUGUAUCUCCCACGCAGCAACAGUUCAAGUCUGCCCCUCAUCCCGGACCACAAUGAUGCAGCGCUGCCCAGCGUGUCACAGGAAUCAUGGUGGGCGAAACUGCGAAAACAGACCCCACCACCGUUCUCUCAUCGACCGCCGCCGCCUCUGCACAACGAGGAGCCGACUCUGCCGCCGGAGCGAGUAGCUGUUAUCUCCACCUCCGCCCCCUCUGUGCCUCCGCGGCCGUCUGUGACAAGCACUGCGCCGCCUACCGAAGCGGAAGAGCGCGCGGAAGGCGUUCCCCCUUCGCCACCGAAGCGGAUUAGUGGGCUUGGCAUCUCGACGACCAGCGUUUCGCCGACUCUCUCCCCGGACGACACCAUCGCCGCCUUUUACGCGCAGCUCGCCGUCUUCGAGGCGAAUUUGCAGGUCAAGGAUGUAAAGGGCAACCCCGAUCAGCCUACCAAGGACUUCGUCGACAUCGACGCAGACGAUGAAAUCGGAGUACCCCUCCCGUACGACCCGUACUACAUCGAGGACCCUGCUCGUUGGACGGCGUGCGACCCUCGCAACGCCUCCUUCUCUGUUGAGCGGGACCGGCUGUGCCAGGAGUACCUGCGCAAUCACAACAACAUGCGUAGUAUAAAGGCGAUGUCGUCGAAGCUUCUGCAGGGCCGCACUAUCAAGAUGCAAAUCACGUACGCGCACAACGACCUCAAAACCAUUGUAAAGCUGUCGCAGCGAAAGUUUAUCUACGAGGCCGUCAGCGAGUACUGGGCCUACUCCUUUGACCGCGCGCUCGAGUUCAACCGGGUGCCGACAUCGGUGUUCGUGCCUAUUCCCCUGGACUACCUGCGCGUCGCCGUCGCCUACUCACCGCUCUUCUCACAGUGGUUCAACCGCUUUGUCGUCCUGUACAACUACACGAACCGCAACUUUGUCCAGUGCGCCUACUACACGCGGCAGGUGUCGGAGUGCAGCAUGGCGACGUUGCAGCUCUGGAUGAAGGAUGUCCACCCCGCGCUUGACACGUUUCUAGCCAUCCCGUACGAAAUCGACCACUCCUUCAUCCGCAAGUACUACAUUCCUGGCCACGAGCUCUUCGCCGGCACCAAGCGGGCACGGCUGCGCGCCGUUGGCGAGCUUCUCGAUCGCAGCGUGUUCGACUUUCUCAUCGGCAACACCGACCGCGGCACCAAUAACCACAACAACUUCGCUUACGGUGGGUGCAGCGCCGAAACAGAGUGCCAGCUGGAGAAGUCAGAGAACCGCAUCAAAGGUCUGGCCAAGUACGCCUACAUUGACCACGGAAGCAGUCUCUAUUCGCACAAGGAGCCGUUGGAGAAUCCGUUUUUCGGCAACGCCGAUCGAGUAAGCAUCUGCCGCUUCCGCCGGUCCACCUUCGAGCAUCUUGCCAAGUACGCCUCCACGGAGCGCGCACACUACCCUCUCAUUGAGCACGUCGAGCGCUCCGUACCGGCGGCCGCCUACGAAGUCAGUCACGAAUCCGUAAUUCGUAAAGUGCAGGUGCGCCUCGACAAGAUCGUGCACAUCAUCAACCGCUGCCGGGUCAAGUACACCGACAACGAGGUGUUCUCGAUGCCGGAGUACGACUCGGUACGCAUUCCAGAGGAGGACGCAACGCUCGGUGACGAGUGGAAGUGAAGUAGAGCAUGCUGUGUGCGACUAAUUCGCCCCGUUUUUCCCGUGAAGCAGCAGCUCCUCACCCCCUCGCAACUCUUCGCACGCAGAGUAGAGUGAUAUCUAUAUAUAUAUGUGUGUGUGUUUCUCCUCCUACCCUCUUCCCCGCCUCGCUCUGCGCUCUGCGCUCAUGUGUGGGGGAUGUGUGGGGACUGGCAGCCACGUCUCCGCGAGUCACGGCGUACGAUUGCGCCUUACCUUCCGCUGAUAACAUGUUUACGCCAACGCGACGGAACAGCGUACGCUGCAGGGGUAUUCAUGUACGUACGUGCGUGCGGAAGGGCACAUGAAGGACACAAAGCGGAGAGAGCAAGACGUCCUUGCGAGCGGUGCACCGGCACUCUCAGCGUUGCGUGUACACGGACUUCUCUCCCCACGCGAAUGGUGGCGUGAGGCGCCUGUCUCGAAAGUAGACACGACGGUGCUUGAUGCGCCGGGUGCGCAAUGAUAUC